rnacentral:tRNA from 1 species
AGAAAGUUAGUCUAACUAAGACGGUUGAUUUCGGCUCAACAAAU